GUCCUUUAGAUUUAAUAAUUUAAGGUCUAACCUGCCCACUGAUGUUUUAAAUGGCCGCAGUAAUUUGACUGUGCAAAGGUAGCAUAAUCAUUAGUUUUUUAAUUAAAAGCUUGUAUGAAUGGUUGGACGAGAUAUAAUCUGUCUCUAAAUAAUAAUUAGAAUUUAAUUUUUAAGUUAAAAAGCUUAAAUUAAAAUAAAAGACGAGAAGACCCUAUAGAUCUUUAUAAUAAAUUUUAUAAAUUUAUUUAUGAUUUAUUAAUUUUUUAUAGUUUUUAUUAUUUUAUUGGGGUAAUAAAAAGAUUUAAUUAAUUCUUUUUUAAUUUAAACAAAAAUAAUUGAUUAAUUGAUCCAUUUUUAGUGAAUGUAAGAUUAAGUUACCUUAGGGAUAACAGCGUAAUUUUUUUAGAGAGUUCAUAUCGAUAAAAAAGAUUGCGACCUCGAUGUUGGAUUAAAAAUUAAUUUGGGUGUAGAAGUUCAAAGGUUUGGUCUGUUCGACCAUUAAAUUUUU
rnacentral:rRNA from 1 species